ensembl:lncRNA
GUUCUGUCUCUAUGCUAUAUUGAAUUUUGUUGAGUUUCCUCAAAACAGCUAUUUUACAUUCUCUAUUGGAAAGAUCACAUAUCACUGUCUCUCCAGGAUUAGCUUUGAUGCCUCAUUUAGUUUGGUUGGUGAGGUCAUAUUUUCCUGGAUGAUCUUGAUGCUUACAGAUGUUCAUUGGUGUCUGGGCAUUGAAGAAUUAGGUAUUUAUUGUAGUCUUCACAGUUUGGGCUUGUUUGUGCCCAUUUUUCCUGGGAAGGCUUUCCAGUUACUUGAAGGGACUUGGGUGUUGUAAUGCAAGUUUUGAUCACUGUAGCAGUAUCUGUACUGGGGACACCCAAACCUUGGAAUGCAACGGCUCUUGCAGACUUGUAGAUACCACUGGGAUGGUCUUGGAUAAGAUCCAAAAGAAUUCUCUGGGUUGCCAGGUAGAAACUCUUGUUCUCUUCUUUUCCUUUCUCCCAAACAAAUGGAGUCUAUUCCUUUGUGCUGAGCUGCCUGGAGCUGGGAGAGGGAUAACACAAGCACCCUUGUAGCUACCACCACUGGGACUGUGCUGGGUGUGACCUGAAACCAGCACAGCACUGAGUGAGUUUUUUUCUAUGGCAUGCAGUAAUCACUGCCUGGCUACCUCCUGUAUUCACCCAAGUCCCUAGGGUUCUGCAGUCAGCUUUGUGUCCUUCCCUUCAGGGUAGCAAUUUUCCCUCAACUGCAGGUGAGUCUAGAGAUGCCAUUUGGGAGACAGGGCCUGGAGUUAGAAGCCUUAGGAAUCUAACUGAUGCUGUAUUCUACUGCAGGUGAGCUGGCACUGAAGCUACAAGACAAUGUCUUUUCCACUAUUCCCUUUCCUUUCCACAAGCAGAGGAGUCUUUUCCCCUGGCCACCACUGCCCAAGGCUUUCAUUGCUGAAAGUCAAGAGACGUUUAGUCUCUUGCCGGUACCAUGCACCUUGCCACUUUACCAAACCUGAAGAGCCUGCCAGCAUCAGACUGCACAGAUUUAAGGUCUUACACACCAGCUCUCUUUCAAGGAAGGCUCUUUCUGUCUAACUUUCCCCUGUUUAUGCCUCCCUGUGAUUUCUAAAAUCAGCAUUUCCUUAAGGAAGCCCUUAUUAACCUCUUCAUCUUGGCCAAUUACCUCAUGUUUUUGUUGCAUUAUCCAUCCCUUAGGGAUUCCAGUUGGCAGAAUUGUGGUUUUAUGUCUGUAUAAUCAUUUGUUUAACAGCUGUCUCUCUCACUAUCUGGUCAACACCCUGUGAACAAGUACUUCUUGUUUUUACUGACACCAUAUUCCUUCCACCGAAUAUUUGCUAAAUGAUGAAUGAAACAUUUAUAAUGUUCUAAGUAUUCUUCUAAGUGAUUUAUAAACAUUAACUUGUUUUUCUUUACCUAAAUAUUAUGAGGGAUUUUAUUCUAUAAGUCAAGAUAAUCUAGGUUACCUUGUGGUAACAGAUAGCCCCCCAAUCCAGUGAUUUAAGAUGACCUCAGCCAAAGUUCUUUUCAGGCUUAUGCUUCAUGUAACAUACAGGUUAGCAGGUGGAAGACAUUAUUGUAAUUAUUCAGAGACUUAGGUUAGAUGUUUCAUCUUGACACAUGCUUCUGAAUUGUUGUGGAAGGGAAGAUGAAUGAUGGAGAAUCAUAUCCCUGAUUCUAAAUGCUCCUACCUAGAAGUGACACAUUUGGGAAAAGCAAGUUGCCUAGCUAUGUCUAACUACAAGAGGGCAGAGGCGUACAGUCAUAGCAGACACCUGUCAAAAAGAGAAUCAUAAAUAUUUGGUGAUCAGUCAAAAAGUUGGUGUACCACGUUUAUUAUUUUCAUUUUAAAACUGAGUAAAUAGACAUAAAGAGCAGCAACUUACUUAAAAACAGAGGAGCCAGAGCUUGAAUUUGGCAGGUUUGCCCAUAAACCUCUGACCUCAUAUCUCUAUGUUAUUUUUCUUUGUCCACACUGGUAUUGAGACAUUCCCAUUCUAGGAACAAAUGGUUAACCAUGUCUGUGUUACUGAUUUUGCUCCCAAAGGAGAGCAGUCAAGUCAGUUACUGCUAUAUCCAGAGUUUCAUGCCUUGAAGAUCAUAAAAAUGAAGACAUUUCUUCAGGAAGUUCACAGUCAGAAGCUGACGUGCGAGCAAUCUCUUUUGCUCUUUGGUCUUUCGAAAAAGUCCAUUUCUACCCAUCAUUAUGUAGUUGAACAUUUUGCAUAAAAGAUAAUUUGAUCAAGUCUAUGUAGUUAAAUUUUUGUUCUAACUUUUUCCUUUCAGAUCUGGAUGUCUUUUUUUUUGAAUUUCUAACCUAGGUUCAGGGGGUACAUGUACAAGUUUGCUACAUGCGUAAAUUGCAAGUCAUGGGGGUUUAGUGUGCAGAUUAUUUAAUCACUCAAGUAAUGGGUAUAGUAUCUGAUAGAUAGUUUUUGGAUCCUCAUUCUCCUCCCAUCCUAUACCCUAAAGUAGGCUCUGGUGUCUAUUAUUCUCUUCUUUGAGUCCAUAUGUACUCUGUGUUUAGCUCCCACUUAUUGGUGAGAACAUGCAGUAUUUGUUUUUCUGUUCAUGCAUUAAUUUGCUUAGGAUAAUGGCCUUCAGCUUUAUCCAUGUUGCUGAAAAGGAUGUUAUUUCAGUCCCUUUCAUGGUUGCAUAGUAUUCCAAAGUGCCUAUGUACCAUAUUUUCUUUAUUUAGCCCACUGAUUAUGGUACCUACGUUAAUUCCAUGUCUUUGUUAUCAUAAAUAGGGCUGCAGUGAACAUAUGCAUGUCUGUGCCUUUAUGAUAGAAUGAUAUAUAUUCCUUUGGCUAUAUUCCCAGCAAUGGGAUUGCUGGGUUGAAUGGUAGUUCUGUUUUAAGUUCUUUGAGAAAUCUCCAGACUGCUUUCCACAGUGGCUGAACUUUGCAUUCCCAUCAGUACUGUAUCAGCAUUCCCUUUUCUCUGUAACCUCAUCAGCAUCUGUUAUUGUUUUACUUUUUAAUACUAGUGAUUCUGACUGGUGUAAGAUGGUAUCCUACUGAGAUUUUGAUUUGUAUGUACCUAAUGAUUAAUAACAUUGAGCAUUUUUUCAUAUGUUUGUUGGAUUUGUAUAAGUCUUCUUUUGAAAAGUAUCUGUUCAUGUCUUUUACCCGUAUUUUAAUGAGAUUAUUUGUUAAUUUGUGUAAGUUCCUUAUAGAUUCUGGAUAUUAAACCUUUGUUGGAUGCAUAGUUUGCAAAUAUUUUCUCCCAUUCUGUAAGAUGUCUGUUUUCUCUGUUGUUAGUUUCUUUUGCUGCAUAAACUAAACAGUUUAAUUUAGUUAGGCCAUACUAAUCAGUUUUUGUUUUUGUCACAAUUGCUUUUGAAGCCUUCGUGAAAUCUUUGCCAGGCCCUAUGUCCACAAUGGUAUUUCCUCAGUAUUCUUCUAGGAUGUUUUUUUAAAUAAUUUUAAGCUUUUCAUUUAAGUUUUUAAUUCAUUUUGAGAUGAACAGAAUGGCAGCAUGGAAGGGACCACAUGUUUAUGCUCGUGCUGGCAGUGAAAGAGUGGCAGGUUACAUGCACUGUUGGUGAUAGGGUAGCAAGGUGGGCACACAUGCCAGUGGCAGUGGGGCAACAAGUUCUACGUACUUGCCUGCACUAGAAAAGCAGUGGAGGGAGGCUGCAGGCAAGUGCGUGCUGGUGGGGGUCCAUCUGCAGAAGCUCUUCGAUGGUUAGGUGGAAUCCAUAGAGAAGGAGAUAUGGAGGUAGUUGCUGGGAAGGACCUGGUUGAGUAUCUGAGUCUGCACUGCAAGUAGGUGUAGCUACUCAGGGACCCCGAAAGAGGCUGACAGACAGGGGGGUGCCCACAUCUGACUGGCCUCAUCUCACAGGCAAGAUAGUCCUGUUCUGUUCAGGCCUGACAGUCAACAAAAGCCAAAUGCCACCCCAAAGGAGCAUGGAGAGUUUUGAGAGAUGGGCAUUGCUGGCCAUGUUCCACUGUAGCCUCUGCUGCAUCAAACACUGGGCUGGACACAAGCUACAACCCUGUCCUUAACAUUGCUCCAAGGAGCUCUCCCUAUCAGCUCAAAUGUCCAAUUGGUUCAUGUCUUCUCCUGCAGCUAGGAUUCUGGAGGUCGGUGGUGAGAGUGGGCUGCUUUGUGCUUAUUUAAUUCACCCUUCGCCAGUAGCCGCUCAGGGACAGGAGUGAGUUCCAGUGCUCAGCAACCCCAUGCAGCGUUCCCAGCUUCCUCUCCCUUUGGUCCAGGGUCUGUUCCUUCCUUUGUUUACUCUCAAUGCCUUCUUUCUGAAGAUCUGCUAGGACUGUGUCAAUCUUCUUGGUGGUCUAGUCUCCGCGGGAGAUGCUCUUUCUGGCUGUGUCUAGUCCACCACCUUGGCUCUUCUCUGUAGUCAAAUGCUAUCCUCAAACAUAAGCUUUGAACAAAACUGAUCUUAUUAAAGGUUUUUCUGACAGUUCUUGCCAUUGAUUUGAGUGAAUCAAUUAUGUUUACUAUUUUAAUCAGAACUACAUUUCCCUGUGUAAUGUCACUCUUGACCAUUAAAUGAAUUUGAGAAUGUGAUGAGUAGUUAAUCCUG